CAGGCUUACACAAAGAAAUGCCUCAAUCCUUUCUAAAACCAAAAAGCUUCUAUUUCACUUUGCAAACACACAGGGCAAGUUCUAGGUAUCGCAUGCAAGCACGGAAUGCAAGUAAAGUAUCUCACACACACUUAGCAUGUAACUCAUUCUGAAUUAGUUUAUCAACACAUUCAUACGAGCGUUCAAGGGAGACAAGAUGUGAAUAAUUAAGGCAUAAAUUUACAGGUCCACAACUGAGCCUAGACAUCACACUCUCAAGUUCGUUUUAGUUGU
rnacentral:lncRNA from 1 species